rnacentral:lncRNA from 1 species
GGCUGACGGCUCCGCUCGGUUCCAGAGCCGAAGAACAGCCUGCUCCUCCUCAUCCUUGUGGUGCUGGCUGCUGUCCUCACUGCCAUCGUGGCGGCUGCCGGCUUCGUGGUCCGGAAGAAGAGCUCAAGCAAGGGGCCGUCCGGCCGUCGGUGGGCCCUGGGCUCGCGGUGGGUGCGGAGCGGGGAGGAAGGGAGAACAGAGAAGGGCUACAAACCCGCAGYGGGUAGAGCCUCAGGGGAGAUGCAGUUUCUCUUGGGCUCUGGCUGCUCCAGCCUCACCAACCAUCUGCGGGGCGUCCUGUGUUAUCUUGUGACUCUCCAUGUUCUCCAUCUGGGAUCAGGUAGGAAUGUCGUGGCCCGUGUCGGGUGGUGCAGGGCUGACAUGGGUGUUGCCCAGCUGUGUCUUCCAGAUGUGCGUCGCUGU